ACAAGCCCAAAGCAAAUUACACUCUAAAUUUUCAAUGUCAUAAAUUGUACGACUAAAUCCCUAAUGUCAUUAGUUGUGAGUUCAUUUCAUGAAAGCAACCAGCCUUCAAAUUCAAGGUUUGUUCAAGUCGUCAUCGACAAUCUCUGUUUAGGUUAAGUUCAAGCUUUGUUCCAGUCGUCAUUGUCAGCCUCCAUUUAAGACAAGUUUAUCAUCUUGAUUUCAGGUGAUCGAGUUCUUGAUUCUUAUCGGAGUUCUUUAUCACCAAAAACAGUAGAAGCUCUUAUUUGUACUCAACAAUAGAUACGAUCAUCUUCCAAGGAAUACUAGUUUGAAGACAUGUUGGAAGAAGUCUAGAAAAUUGAUCAAGUUGAAGAAGGUAUUACAAAAGUUUAUUCCAAGAAAAAGAAUAUAACUGCAAUGAAUCUCCCAAAGAUUGGAAUUUGGGUCAUUAUGCCUUUACUAACAUUCUGGAAUAUGCUCCUCGGGAUUAAAAUGUCCAACUUCUUAGAGUUUAAUAUAUUCUCUUUUUGUUUAUUUUCUAUGACUCUUGGCCGUAGUGUCUACUCUUAAAAUAUUGGUGAUAAUUCAUAUGUAGAAUGCAAUAUAAUUUGCAAUUUAUCUUUUUGGCAGUCUAUGACUCUUCGUUGUAACUAUUUACAAAUGUUUCAGGAGCAAUUUCGGGCUACAAUGAGGUUAAGGAGUAUUUUGAGAUAAUAUGGAGCGUUGAAGGCCAAGUAAAGGCUUAUGGAGUAAAUUGGGAGUUUGUUCGAGGAUCGAAGGAGGUUAGCGCAUUUAAAAAAAGAAGAACAAAGAAGAGUGCAAAAAAUCUCCUAGGUGCGCGGCCGCGCACCGACCGUGCACUGGGCCGCGCAAGUCAGCAGAAACUGACCAAAGUGCACGGCCAGAUGCGCGGUCACCUGCCCAGGUGCGCGGCCGCGCACGUCCCUCCAAGAAAAAUUAUUCCAGGGCUAAAAUUGUAAUUUCAGAGGCGAUUGUCCUUGACCUAUAUGAAGCCCAACUCUCCCAAAAAGAGGGUAUCUUGGUAUUUUUGAAGAACUUUGAAGGCAAGAACAGGCAAGGAGCAAGACGGAAGAUUCAGAAACACGUUUUUAUCUUUCUUUCUCCCUUUUUUUUAUCAUUGAUGAUGAAUUCUUAUGUUGUGAUUGUUAAAAUAAUUAUGAGUAGUUAAACUCUU